UCCUGGGUUUGGAUUUCUGGCAAACUUUUCUGCCUGGACUUUUCCUAGUGUCUCUUGCCAGAGCAAACUCUGGCCCCAUACCAUUGCCUGGCCUCUGGCUGUAGGCUGCUGGCACUGAAUGCAUUGCACAGUG
ensembl:snoRNA